UACGGAGGGGGCAAGCGUUAUCCGGAAUUAUUGGGCGUAAAGCGUCCGUAGGUGGCAAUUCAAGUCUGCUGUCAAAGCAUGGAGCUUAACUCCAUAGAGGCAGUGGAAACUGAAUAGCUAGAGUUCGGUAGGGGUAGCGGGAAUUCCCAGUGUAGCGGUGAAAUGCGUAGAGAUUGGGAAGAACAUCGGUGGCGAAAGCGCGCUACUGGGCCGAAACUGACACUGAGGGACGAAAGCUAGGGGAGCGAAAGGG
rnacentral:rRNA from 1 species